AGCCACAGCCAUAUCACCCUGCAGCCCAAGACCGGUUACUCUGAAGCAAAGCAGGGCUGUGCCUGGUCAGUACCUGGAUGGGAGACCACAUGGAAGCAGGGCCAGCAGGGGGUG
ensembl:rRNA 5S_rRNA 5S ribosomal RNA